rnacentral:rRNA from 1 species
AGUGAACGCUGGCGGUAGGCCUAACACAUGCAAGUCGAACGGCAGCACAGUAAGAGCUUGCUCUUACGGGUGGCGAGUGGCGGACGGGUGAGGAAUACAUCGGAAUCUACUUUUUCGUGGGGGAUAACAUAGGGAAACUUACGCUAAUACCGCAUACGACCUACGGGUGAAAGCAGGGGAUCUUCGGACCUUGCGCGAUUGAAUGAGCCGAUGUCGGAUUAGCUAGUUGGCGGGGUAAAGGCCCACCAAGGCGACGAUCCGUAGCUGGUCUGAGAGGAUGAACAGGCACACUGGAACUGAGACACGGUCCAGACUCCUACGGGAGGCAGCAGUGGGGAAUAUUGGACAAUGGGCGCAAGCCUGAUCCAGCCAUGCCGCGUGGGUGAAGAAGGCCUUCGGGUUGUAAAGCCCUUUUGUUGGGAAAGAAAAGCAGCAGGUUAAUACCCCGCUGUUCUGACGGUACCCAAAGAAUAAGCACCGGCUAACUUCGUG